AUUGUAGAGGCACCAUCAAGGAGAUCCGAUAAAGUACUAUGUCCAUCAGAUAGAUACUUUGAUUUUUAGUUUCGGAUGUGAUCCUAUUAAACUCAAUGAGAACAACAAGGAUCUAAUCACCUACAUGGUGCCAUAUAGAAGUCUGACUUCAAUUAAUGGCUUGGAGCCAUAAAGUUCGAAAUGAUUCCACAAAGGUCAACGGUGUAUGGAUACUCAUUGAUCUACUUGAAGGGAUAAAAUUCAUAGGGUGUAAAUGGAUCUUCAAUAGGAUCAGAAGGCGC
rnacentral:lncRNA from 1 species